AAAUUGAAGAGUUUGAUCAUGGCUCAGAUUGAACGCUGGCGGCAGGCCUAACACAUGCAAGUCGAGCGGUAGCACAGAGAGCUUGCUCUCGGGUGACGAGCGGCGGACGGGUGAGUAAUGUCUGGGAAACUGCCUGAUGGAGGGGGAUAACUACUGGAAACGGUAGCUAAUACCGCAUAAUGUCGCAAGACCAAAGUGGGGGACCUUCGGGCCUCAUGCCAUCAGAUGUGCCCAGAUGGGAUUAGCUAGUAGGUGGGGUAAUGGCUCACCUAGGCGACGAUCCUAGCUGGUCUGAGAGGAUGACCAGCCACACUGGAACUGAGACACGGUCCAGACUCCUACGGGAGGCAGCAGUGGGGAAUAUUGCACAAUGGGCGCAAGCCUGAUGCAGCCAUGCCGCGUGUGUGAAGAAGGCCUUCGGGUUGUAAAGCACUUUCAGCGGGGAGGAAGGCGGUGAGGUUAAUAACCUCACCGAUUGACGUUACCCGCAGAAGAAGCACCGGCUAACUCCGUGCCAGCAGCCGCGGUAAUACGGAGGGUGCAAGCGUUAAUCGGAAUUACUGGGCGUAAAGCGCACGCAGGCGGUCUGUCAAGUCGGAUGUGAAAUCCCCGGGCUUAACCUGGGAACUGCAUUCGAAACUGGCAGGCUAGAGUCUUGUAGAGGGGGGUAGAAUUCCAGGUGUAGCGGUGAAAUGCGUAGAGAUCUGGAGGAAUACCGGUGGCGAAGGCGGCCCCCUGGACAAAGACUGACGCUCAGGUGCGAAAGCGUGGGGAGCAAACAGGAUUAGAUACCCUGGUAGUCCACGCCGUAAACGAUGUCGAUUUGGAGGUUGUGCCCUUGAGGCGUGGCUUCCGGAGCUAACGCGUUAAAUCGACCGCCUGGGGAGUACGGCCGCAAGGUUAAAACUCAAAUGAAUUGACGGGGGCCCGCACAAGCGGUGGAGCAUGUGGUUUAAUUCGAUGCAACGCGAAGAACCUUACCUGGUCUUGACAUCCACAGAACUUAGCAGAGAUGCUUUGGUGCCUUCGGGAACUGUGAGACAGGUGCUGCAUGGCUGUCGUCAGCUCGUGUUGUGAAAUGUUGGGUUAAGUCCCGCAACGAGCGCAACCCUUAUCCUUUGUUGCCAGCGGUCCGGCCGGGAACUCAAAGGAGACUGCCAGUGAUAAACUGGAGGAAGGUGGGGAUGACGUCAAGUCAUCAUGGCCCUUACGACCAGGGCUACACACGUGCUACAAUGGCAUAUACAAAGAGAAGCGACCUCGCGAGAGCAAGCGGACCUCAUAAAGUAUGUCGUAGUCCGGAUUGGAGUCUGCAACUCGACUCCAUGAAGUCGGAAUCGCUAGUAAUCGUAGAUCAGAAUGCUACGGUGAAUACGUUCCCGGGCCUUGUACACACCGCCCGUCACACCAUGGGAGUGGGUUGCAAAAGAAGUAGGUAGCUUAACCUUCGGGAGGGCGCUUACCACUUUGUGAUUCAUGACUGGGGUGAAGUCGUAACAAGGUAACCGUAGGGGAACCUGCGGUUGGAUCACCUCCUUA
rnacentral:rRNA from 1 species